UACGAAGGGGGCUAGCGUUGCUCGGAAUUACUGGGCGUAAAGCGCACGUAGGCGGAUUGUUAAGUCGGGGGUGAAAUCCUGGAGCUCAACUCCAGAACUGCCUUCGAUACUGGCGAUCUCGAGUUCGGGAGAGGUGAGUGGAACUGCGAGUGUAGAGGUGAAAUUCGUAGAUAUUCGCAAGAACACCAGUGGCGAAGGCGGCUCACUGGCCCGAUACUGACGUUGAGGUGCGAAAGCGUGGGGAGCAAACAGG
rnacentral:rRNA from 1 species